CCUACGGGUGGCAGCAGUGAGGAAUAUUGGUCAAUGGCCGGAAGGCUGAACCAGCCAUGCCGCGUGAAGGUCAGUGCCCUAUGGGCGUUAAACUUCUUUUGUGCGGGAGCAAUAAUGGUCACGUGUGGCCAGACGAGAGUACCGUACGAAUAAGCAUCGGCUAAAUCCGUGCCAGCAGCCGCGGUGAUACGGGGGAUGCAAGCGUUAUCGGGAUUUAUAGGGGUUAAGGGGUGCGUAGGGUGUGAGGUAAGUCAGCGGUGAAAUGCCCCCGGUCAACGGGGUGAAGUGCCAUUGAUACUGGCUGGCUGGAAUGCGGAUGCGGUGGGAGGAAUGUGUGGUGUAGCGGUGAAAUGCAUAGAUAUCACACAGAACACCGAUUGCGAAGGCAUCUCACGAAUCCGCGAUUGACGCUGAUGCACGAAAGCGUGGGUAUCAAACAGGAUUAGAUACCCGGGUAGUC
rnacentral:rRNA from 1 species